ensembl:piRNA 21ur-9413 ncRNA
UUGAAUUAAAAACACAGUUGC